UUUGAGGAAGAAUAUCCUGAGUUUGAACACAGGUUUUUCCUGAGACAUUUAUAUGCUAACUUUAAGAAGUAUGGAGGUGGUACACUAUACAUAGAUCUCAUUAUGGCUACAGCAAAAGCAACCUAUUUGGAAGAACAUGAGGAAAAGAUGAAUCAAUUAAGGAGGUUAGUUUAGAUGCUUAUGAAUGGUUAAAUGCUAUACCUAAAUAUAAGUGGUGUAAGCAUGCAUUUCCAUGGUACUCUAAGUGUGAUGUUCUGAUGAACAACCUUAGUGAAUCCUUUAAUGCAACAAUUUUAAUGCAAAGGGAUAAAUCUAUUAUCACCAUGUUUGAGUGGAUUAGAACUAUCUUAUGGGCAGGUUUGCCACUCUUAGGGAGAAAGUAGAAAAUUACAAGGGAGAGAUCAUGUCAAAACCCCUUAGGAGGUUAGAUAGGGAGAUAGAAAAAAAUGCAAAUUGGUUGCCAAACUAUGCUGGUAGAUUAACCUUUCAGGCCAGUCAUGUUAUGUUCACAGAUAGUUUUGUUGUAGACUUAGCAAAAAAGACUCGUUAUUGUAACUUUUGGGACUUGGUUGGUAUCCCUUAUAGACAUGGAGUUGCAGCCAUACAUAGGAAACUUGAUGAUCCCAUUAAGUAUGUCCACAAAUGUUAUCAUAGGAAUACUUAUUUGGCAUGCUACAAUGAAGUUAUCACCCCUCUUAAUGGCCAAAAUAAAUGGCCAAGGACUACUGACCCAAACAUAUUACCACCUAGUUUUAAGAGAGGUCCAGGUAGACCCAAGAAACUCAGAAGAAGAGAGCCAGAUGAAGCUUCUCAAAACAAGUGGCAAAGGACAAAUACAAGUAAAAGGUGCAAGACUUGAUUUGAAUAUGGGUACAACAAAAGGACCUGUAAUAAAAAUAAACAACUAGCAUGUGUUGAAGGUGAAGUGCCAAGAAUUGUUGCAGCCACCCAAGGUAGUCAAACUCAAACUCAAACUAUGGAGACAACAUAAAAAAGGGGUAUGCCAAAGGGAAUAACUAGCAAAAGAGUCCAGAAUAAGAAAUCUAAAAAGACUACACCAGUUGCUGCAAACACUGAGCCCCAACCUGAUGUUGUUGCAAACAUUGAGCCCCAACCUGGUGUUGCUGCAAACACUGAGCCAAAUGCACAACCUGAGGUAGAUGUCCUAAGGCACCAAAACCUGCUGUCAAAAAGUUCAAAGUUCCAAGACCUAAGUCACCAAAUCCUACUGCCAAAACUGUGACAUAUGAGGCCAUCAACCCAGUUGUGUCUGAUCCUGUGAAAACAAUGAUAUCACCAAGGAAAAAUUUCAAGAUUCUUACAUCUCCUACAAGAAAAAGUGACAGGCUUAAUACUUUAAGGACAAAAAACAUAGUGGGACUUGGAAGGGAUUCAAAGGAUCCACUUGUAAUUCCUGAAGAAGAAGAAAGUGUUGGCAGUGCUAGAGGGAAUAACAAGUGGGAUGACAUCCAAAGGAACAUUACUCAAUGAAGACCUAUAACUACUUUGUUUUGGAACUUAUGAACAUUAUGUGUUUUGCUUGAAACUUAUGUGUUAUGAACCAAGUUUUUAGUUAUGUAAUAUGAACCUAUUGUACUUUGCUCCUCAUUUUUUACUUUGCAAGAAAUGUAAUGGAGCUCCACUUUUUGUACUUUGCACUUAAUAUU